GGUGGCUCAGUGGUGGAGUGCUUGCCUGGCAUGCAUGAGGCCGUGGGUUCGAUUCCUCAGCACCA
rnacentral:tRNA from 1 species